CCUACGGGAGGCUGCAGUGGGGAAUAUUGCACAAUGGGGGAAACCCUGAUGCAGCGACGCCGCGUGAGUGAAGAAGUAUUUCGGUAUGUAAAGCUCUAUCAGCAGGGAAGAAAAUGACGGUACCUGAGUAAGAAGCCCCGGCUAACUACGUGCCAGCAGCCGCGGUAAUACGUAGGGGGCAAGCGUUAUCCGGAUUUACUGGGUGUAAAGGGAGCGUAGACGGCAGCACAAGUCUGGAGUGAAAUGCCGGGGCUUAACCCCGGAACUGCUUUGGAAACUGUGCAGCUAGAGUGCAGGAGAGGUAAGUGGAAUUCCUAGUGUAGCGGUGAAAUGCGUAGAUAUUAGGAGGAACACCAGUGGCGAAGGCGGCCUGCUGGGCUUUUUCUGACGCUGAGGCCCGAAAGUGUGGGGAGCAAACAGGAUUAGAUACCCUUGUAGUC
rnacentral:rRNA from 1 species